UACGUAGGUGGCAAGCGUUGUCCGGAAUUAUUGGGCGUAAAGCGCGCGCAGGCGGUUCCUUAAGUCUGAUGUGAAAGCCCCCGGCUCAACCGGGGAGGGUCAUUGGAAACUGGGGAACUUGAGUGCAGAAGAGGAGAGCGGAAUUCCACGUGUAGCGGUGAAAUGCGUAGAGAUGUGGAGGAACACCAGUGGCGAAGGCGGCUCUCUGGUCUGUAACUGACGCUGAGGCGCGAAAGCGUGGGGAGCGAACAGG
rnacentral:rRNA from 2 species